GAUGAACGCUAGCUACAGGCUUAACACAUGCAAGUCGAGGGGCAGCAUGGUCUUAGCUUGCUAAGACUGAUGGCGACCGGCGCACGGGUGAGUAACACGUAUCCAACCUGCCGUCUACUCUUGGACAGCCUUCUGAAAGGAAGAUUAAUACAAGAUGGCAUCAUGAGUCCACAUGUUCACAUGAUUAAAGGUAUUCCGGUAGACGAUGGGGAUGCGUUCCAUUAGAUAGUAGGCGGGGUAACGGCCCACCUAGUCUUCGAUGGAUAGGGGUUCUGAGAGGAAGGUCCCCCACAUUGGAACUGAGACACGGUCCAAACUCCUACGGGAGGCAGCAGUGAGGAAUAUUGGUCAAUGGGCGAGAGCCUGAACCAGCCAAGUAGCGUGAAGGAUGACUGCCCUAUGGGUUGUAAACUUCUUUUAUAAAGGAAUAAAGUCGGGUAUGCAUACCCGUUUGCAUGUACUUUAUGAAUAAGGAUCGGCUAACUCCGUGCCAGCAGCCGCGGUAAUACGGAGGAUCCGAGCGUUAUCCGGAUUUAUUGGGUUUAAAGGGAGCGUAGAUGGAUGUUUAAGUCAGUUGUGAAAGUUUGCGGCUCAACCGUAAAAUUGCAGUUGAUACUGGAUAUCUUGAGUGCAGUUGAGGCAGGCGGAAUUCGUGGUGUAGCGGUGAAAUGCUUAGAUAUCACGAAGAACUCCGAUUGCGAAGGCAGCCUGCUAAGCUGCAACUGACAUUGAGGCUCGAAAGUGUGGGUAUCAAACAGGAUUAGAUACCCUGGUAGUCCACACGGUAAACGAUGAAUACUCGCUGUUUGCGAUAUACGGCAAGCGGCCAAGCGAAAGCGUUAAGUAUUCCACCUGGGGAGUACGCCGGCAACGGUGAAACUCAAAGGAAUUGACGGGGGCCCGCACAAGCGGAGGAACAUGUGGUUUAAUUCGAUGAUACGCGAGGAACCUUACCCGGGCUUAAAUUGCAGAUGAAUUACGGUGAAAGCCGUAAGCCGCAAGGCAUCUGUGAAGGUGCUGCAUGGUUGUCGUCAGCUCGUGCCGUGAGGUGUCGGCUUAAGUGCCAUAACGAGCGCAACCCUUGUUGUCAGUUACUAACAGGUUCUGCUGAGGACUCUGACAAGACUGCCAUCGUAAGAUGUGAGGAAGGUGGGGAUGACGUCAAAUCAGCACGGCCCUUACGUCCGGGGCUACACACGUGUUACAAUGGGGGGUACAGAGGGCCGCUACCACGCGAGUGGAUGCCAAUCCCCAAAACCUCUCUCAGUUCGGACUGGAGUCUGCAACCCGACUCCACGAAGCUGGAUUCGCUAGUAAUCGCGCAUCAGCCACGGCGCGGUGAAUACGUUCCCGGGCCU
rnacentral:rRNA from 1 species